rnacentral:lncRNA from 1 species
GUUUGGGGGAUAAUAGCGAAACUACAAAAAGUGGUUCCACUAGGUAAAUUAAAACAAAAUCGAUACAACAACACCAUCUCGCUCUCGUCAUUCAUUUAGGUACUACCUUCCGCGGGAUUCUCAGUCUCCAUUGCUUCGGCAGAAGCUGGUUGCUCUGGCUCACUCUUGCCCUCAUCCGCCUGCUCACCUCCCUUGGCUUGUGGUGCCUCUGCUUUAGCCGCCGGCUUUGGUUUGGUCAUUAUAGGCCUGCAAAACCUGUAAAACAUCCAAAGCUGGUUCAAUCUCUAUUAUCAUAUAGCAUUUCUAUUAGAGACACAGAUACAAAGAGCCUUGCUUACUUGUCCAAUGCCUCUGCCUUGCUUUUUACGUCAGCUGACAAGAGAGCCGGUGUGGCAUACUUGGGAAGCGUGUCCUGCUGCUGCUGCUUCUCCCGCAGCCAUGCUUCUGCUUCCACACACUCGUUCAAAACCUUAAUCAUUGCACAAGAACAAAACACAUUUCAAACCAUUUUACCCAAGCCUGUGAAAUUUAAGAUUUGUUCUGCGCUUUCGAGAUGAGCCGAAUUAUUACCUUUUGCUUCUCUGCCAAUUCAAUGUGAUCAAACUUGGGAUCAUUAGACACAGCUGCCUCUCUGUAGCUGUUAAUACAGUAGCCAAGCUGAUCAAUGACCGACCCUCUUUCCAACGACUCCUUGUAACGCACUUCAACAGGGUCACCCACCUGCAUAAUAUUAAUCCCACUCCUCUGUUAAAACAUUAUCCUGAAAUAUGAUUUCUUCCUGCACAAUAUAAAGUGUCAUCAUAUGCAUGGUUUACCUUCUUGAGCUCCUCGAGCUUUGCAACAUAAACACCUUUGGUCUCAUCUUCCCCAUCUUCAUACAACCAAUCCUCAACUUCCUGCAGAUUCGCCAGGAAUGCUUCCCUCUCCGAGUCAGUGAUAUAUUCUGGUAUUUGUCACUCAGCUGAAAACAAGACACGUCAGUACUCAAUACUCAAAACUUUACAUAUGCAUACUGCCAAUGAAAAGACGAAAUAAAGAUUUCUCACUUUGUUUCGCAUAUCAUAAACAUAAGACUCAACAGCAUUCUUCCGGUCCUUGGUCUCUUCCAUAACUCUGUCUUGCAGAGCCAUCUCAAAUUCCUUCUCCACUGCCUUUUCAACUUCCACAGUUUUCAAGGCACCAUAGACCAAUUCUGACAGUGGUACAUUUGUUUUCUUCACCUUCUUCUUUGGAGCCUCUGCCUGCACAAUCCAAUAAUAAAGUAUCCAUAAUUAUUUAUUGUUCACAAGCGAAUAGCAAACAGUAUGAGGUAAGAGAGAAACUAGCCUUUGAAUCAGUUUCCAUUUGCACCGGCUUCUCAGCAGACUCUGGAACACCAUUGUCAGUACCAGUUGCAUCACUGGUAUCUUUGGCGUCCUGCAUGUUAACAUCAGAGUCACCAGAAGCAGGAGCUGCCUCGGCAGAAGCUUUGUCAGUGUCCAUCUUAGCAGUUUCCUCUGAUUGAUCUUUUGUGACCGAUACUUCAACUUCUUCCUCUUCCAAAAGCUGCAUUUAGGAGAGAUAAAAGUGGAUAAAUUAACGAACCAUAAGUGGCUAAGUUCAUAAGGUAAGCCACGGUUCUGCAUGAUCAACUUGUAAUCAGUUAAUAGAGAGAAUCGGCCUUUAAAUAGUUCACGUAAAGAAACUUACAGUUGCUGAUUCAACAGAGACAAUUCCAUGCAGGUUCAAUCUAACUUUCACUUUCAGCUUUGCCCUCUCGCCUUUUGAUGACUGGAAGGGACCAAUCUACAAAAAGGAGAUCCACCAUUAGAAACAAGAGCACUACAGUCAUACAUAGUCUUGACAUUGGGCAAAGAUCAAACCGUGUAUGUGCUGAUUUUAGGAGGUGCUUGCAAAUCGUUCACAUCACUGUACUGCACAUCAAUAGAGAAUGUUCCAGAACGAUAAAAUGUUAGAGCCUUGACACUAGGAAUAGGAUUUCCUUUCGGAAAAACAAUAGUGCUCUGCUGGUUCUCAGUGCCUCCAUUUUGAGCAUCAGUCGCUGCUCCUUUCCAAGCAAGCGAUAUUGAGAAAGGGAAGCUCUCAUGAACCUAAGAGAACAAAAAAUAAAUCAUAAUAUGACUAGUCAGAUAACCUGGAGUAUAACAGUUCUCGAGUUGCUUACAAGUACAUUAAAAUAACGACAUUUACUUAAGCAUAGAUAUGCACAAAUUACCUGGAAUUCGCGAACUUUAAAGGUCGGACUGAGAAUGGCACACUGCAAGGCACAUCCCCUCGACACACACUCACUUGCAUUCAUUGUACGCCUGGGCUCCUUACCAAAAAACUCAGUUAGAAUCUUGAUCAUAGCAGGGACACGAGAGCCAGAGCCGACAACCUCGACCAUAUGUACAUCUUCAACAGUGAGGCCCGCAUCAGAGAGAGCUUUCUCUAAAGGCCUCUUAACACGCUCCAAAAUCGGGAUGCUGAUCUCUUCAAACUCUUCCCUCUUGAUGACACCCCUAACAUCUUUCUCAGCCAUCAAACACUCGAUAUUCAAUGGUGCCAUAGGAUUAGCGCUUAGAACCUUUUUCAGUUUCUCGCAUGUAGCGCGGAGCCUGAGAGAAGCCUUAGCAUUCUGGGAGACGUCAAUCUUGUACUCGUCCUUGAACUUAGCAGCAAAAUGAUUGAAAAGAACUUCAUCAAAAUCCCUUCCCCCAAGGGAGCGAUCGAAAGCGUGAGACAAGAUUUUGAGCUGUCCUUUUUUGAAGCCUGCAAUACAGACUUGCAUGCUUGCGUGUCCAAUGUCAAUGAAUGCAACAUUGAGCUGGUCAUUCUCUGGCAGAUCUGUCUUAUAAAUUCCGUAUGCCAAAGCCGUAGCUGUAGUCUCAUGGAUCAAGUGCAAGGGAUGCAAGCCUGCAAUUGUGGCAGCAUCGAGAACAGCCCUACGCUGGAGGUCGGUAAAGUAAACAGGAAUACCAAUACAGCAGUCGACCACAGCUGUAUUCAAAUUCUUCUCAGCAAUACCUUUCAAGUUGGACAACAUCAUACCCAUGACCUGAGUCGGGGUAAAGGCUCUAAUCUCUCCCAAAUAAUUAGCAUGGAUCAAAGGAUAGCCAUCAGGGCCUUCAGUGACAGAAAAGGGAAGGGAUUUGAUAUCCCUUUGAAGCUCAGGGUCGGAAAACUGGCGACCAAUUAAGCGCUUGAUUUGUGAGAUGGAGUUUUUGGGGUUCAUCAUGGUAGAAGCAGCUCCAGCAGUACCGAUGAAGCGCUGCUUGUCACCAAAGCAAACGAUAGCCGGAGUCUCGCGAUUUGACUCAUCAUUAAGCACGACGUCGAUACCUCUUUGCCUUGCAACAGCAACAAGGCAAUUCUCGUUUCCAAAAUCAAAACCAACUACACUCAUUGUUAGGCUUUGUGUUCUUCAGUACUGGGGCGUCCCACGUGUUCGAUAGCAACCUUAUAGAACAAAAAAAAGAAAAACACUAUCAGAUAGCGAUCGAAGCAGACUAGUCUUGAGCUCGAGAGAUUACAGGAGAUGACGAAUUGGCGGUAACUCAGGCCAGGUAGCCUUAAACCAUCGUAUUACUAAACCUAAAAUAAAACCACCAGUUUGGGUUUACAUCAACAAUACAUACAACGAAGAUUGGUGGAGUUUGAAACUAAAAUACAAAUCCGGAAGCAGCGAAAGCAGAAGAUUCAUAUUGAAACACAAGUACGAGGAACAAGUAAUCUGGCAACAAGAAAUAAAUAAAACCUAAAAGUGAGGAAAAAGAGAAGCAUCAGAUCUAGAAGAUCUGCAACUAGAGCAUACCUGGAUCGCGAGAGGGGUUCGCGUUCUGGAAGCUUCCACCGAAAUCUGGGUGAAGGUGAGAAAUCUGUAAUCGUGUCGCAGCCAAAAAGUGAAGAGGAAGGGAGAAGAGCUUCUUUUAUAAAGGAAGAGCAAGAGAGAAGAGGUUUUAAUUAAGGAGCAGACACCACCACAGGGUUUGGGUUCCUCUGGAAUGUUCUUCUCCUUUCCUUUUUUUUUUUUAUUUUAAAAACACUUUCAUUUCCUUUUUAUUUUUGUGAUAUUUUUGCCUAAAUUAUUUAUUUAUUGCCUUUUUUUUUCUUAGGUUUUUUUUUUUUAUCCCAGUGUUUUUGUAUAUUUUUAUUCGAGUCUACAUAUAAUUAUUUAAACCCAAUGUAUUUAAAAUUAAUAAAAUUAUUAUAGAGAAGUGGCUGGUGUUAUCAGAAUUUGUGGUACAUAAGAUAUGCACGAACUAAUUGCAUUGUGGUGUCUGGAACAUGCCAUUAUCUGCGGCGCCCAGAGAUGAUUCAUGGAUUUAUGUUAGAGAUUUUCAUUGUCCUCACUGGUGCAGGCAGCUUAAUCACAUAUCGUAGCAGUCGCACUCAUUCUGUGCUCAUAACGAGGAAAUGAAUUCAUCCUUGUUUAACCCCGUUUGGAUUGGAGAAACGAUACAACUUCAGCCUGGAUGACCUCAAAGAUGUUGCCAAAGGCUACGACUGCUUCAUCAAGGAAGAUGUUCUUUGUACAACAAUGGUAAGGAAGAGAAGUGAGGAAGACGAGUUUUGUCACACUGAUUUCACGUAAGAUAUAAGAGAAAAGAUGUUAAGCUUAGGGGGUUCAAAGUUGCCUUUUAAAGCUCCAAUAUAUAUAGAACCAAAUUGCAUUUCAUUUGCUGUUUAUAAAAACAGCCCAGUCCAACAUAGAACGAAUCCGUGUACACUCCAUAAUAGUUAUAUAGAGGAGCAGAAAAAAUGACUUUCAAAUUAAAAACAAAACCACAAGGAACAAUAAGAAAAAAGAUGCUUCCUAAAAAUUGUUUUCGAAAAGGAAGAAUUAACAAUAUAGAUUUUUUCCGGGAAUAAUAGCGAAACCAGAAAAAGAGGUUCCACUAGGUAAAUCAAAAAGAGUUAAGAACAAAAUCGAUACAACACCAUCUCUCUCUCGUCAUUCAUUUAGGUACUACCUUCCGCGGGAUUCUCAGUCUCCAUUGGUUCGGCAGAAGCUGGUUGCUCUGGCUCACUCUUGCCCUCAUCCGCCUGCUCACCUCCCUUGGCUUG